CAACCUGCCGUCUACUCUUGGACAGCCUUCUGAAAGGAAGAUUAAUACAAGAUGGCAUCAUGAGUCCGCAUGUUCACAUGAUUAAAGGUAUUCCGGUAGACGAUGGGGAUGCGUUCCAUUAGAUAGUAGGCGGGGUAACGGCCCACCUAGUCUUCGAUGGAUAGGGGUUCUGAGAGGAAGGUCCCCCACAUUGGAACUGAGACACGGUCCAAACUCCUACGGGAGGCAGCAGUGAGGAAUAUUGGUCAAUGGGCGAGAGCCUGAACCAGCCAAGUAGCGUGAAGGAUGACUGCCCUAUGGGUUGUAAACUUCUUUUAUAAAGGAAUAAAGUCGGGUAUGUAUACCCGUUUGCAUGUACUUUAUGAAUAAGGAUCGGCUAACUCCGUGCCAGCAGCCGCGGUAAUACGGAGGAUCCGAGCGUUAUCCGGAUUUAUUGGGUUUAAAGGGAGCGUAGAUGGAUGUUUAAGUCAGUUGUGAAAGUUUGCGGCUCAACCGUAAAAUUGCAGUUGAUACUGGAUAUCUUGAGUGCAGUUGAGGCAGGCGGAAUUCGUGGUGUAGCGGUGAAAUGCUUAGAUAUCACGAAGAACUCCGAUUG
rnacentral:rRNA from 1 species